rnacentral:rRNA from 1 species
UACGGAGGGGGCUAGCGUUGUUCGGAAUUACUGGGCGUAAAGCGCACGUAGGCGGCUUUGUAAGUUAGAGGUGAAAGCCCGGGGCUCAACUCCGGAAUUGCCUUUAAGACUGCAUCGCUAGAAUUGUGGAGAGGUGAGUGGAACUGCGAGUGUAGAGGUGAAAUUCGUAGAUAUUCGCAAGAACACCAGUGGCGAAGGCGGCUCACUAGCCCGAUACUGAACGCUGGAGGCACGGAAAAGCGUGGGGGAGCAA